GACACAAAACCCGGAAGGACCCCGCCGAAGGUUUUCUCCGGUUCGUGAGAGGGACGGAGUCCCGCUCUGUCACGCAGGCUGCCAGGCUGGCGUACAGUGGCGCAAUCUCAGCUCACUGCAACCUCCACCUCCUGGGUUCAAGCGAUUUUCUUGCCUCUGCCUCCUGAGUAGCUGGGAUUACUGGCACACACCACCAAUGCACAGGGAAUUUUCUUGUGGGCAAAUUGUGAGGGAGUUGCAGGAAUUUAGCCAAUUCAGAGAUCUUGUUCUCCAUAAUUUGGAAUUUUCCUUCGGAUUUGAUCAAGUUGGAUAGAGUUGGUCAAACCCAAUGGGAAAAAGAUGAAAACAACAAGAAACAGAAACAAACAACAACAGCAACAACAACAAAAACAGUUAAGUGAAACAAACAAACAAUCACACAAUUUAUGUGGUCACUGAGUGCUCUAAUAGUAAGGAGAAAUUAAGACCAGCUGGCUGUUAGUCUUAACUCUAGCCAAGACAAAACUCCAAUUCAGCUACUUACCUAGUAAUGAGUCUCAGGCUGAAGU
rnacentral:antisense_RNA from 1 species